AACCACCCGCUCCUCGGCCGGCGACUGCGUGACACCGGCUCCCGGAUCUUUUGGGAACACUCGACUCAGCAGGUCACCGGUUUCUUAUAACAAGAGAGAGAGAACACCCCGACCACCGUCCUAGACUCCAGGGAGCGAAGCUCGACGGCGGGGUGGGGGCCACCCAGCGGGGCCCACCCGGUUAUUCCUGGGGUCCCUUCCCUGCCCUGGUCUCCCCCCAUCGGCGCAACCACACAUGGAUCCAGAAAAUCCUCCUGGCCACAUGCUCCCCCGGCUCCCCAUGGCCUCAGUGGUGAUCAGACCUUCCCGAAGGGUCCACACACCCUGUGUUGAUAGAAAGAAAGGGAAAGGAAACCGCAUUACCUGGUCCUUUAAAAGCGGACAUGCACAUUCAGGUUGGAAGACCAGCAGCCUGGGGACCCCCGGGGGGCUCUGUGGGUGAGCCUGCCUCCGGCUCAGGGCGUGACCCCGGGGUCCUGGGAUCCAGGCCCACAUUGGGCUCCCUGCAGGGUGUCUGCUUCUCCCUCUCUCUCCCUCUCUCUCUCGAAUAAAUAAAUAAAAAUCU